UGAGAGCUGCGCUUUCCAGAAGCCCU
rnacentral:piRNA from 1 species